GCCAGGCAUGAGCUGGAAGAAUCCCUGAAUUCGUAUGGUGUGAAACUCCCUCUCAAGUUUCAUAAGCAAGAUGAACACAUUUGACUGAAAUACAGUGGGAAUAACAGGCUGGGGCACUUUUCUUACCUGGCUCUGUGCCUGGGCCAGCCCUUCUUGCACAAGGCAUCUGAGACAGGAGGGCAGGACAAAGAGCUGCUCCUCUGCCCUGUAUUGCCUGCUGGCACGGGCCAGCCACAAACACCUGUGUUACAGCAGCACUCCCCAUGUCCAGGUCUUGCAGCUCUGCAGAAAAUAUGAAGAACUCCUGCAAAAAGUUGAAAAAUAAAAGAAAGCAUGUGUGCUGCUGACUGCACUUUUCUACAUCGAAUUUGCAUCAAAUGAAAAGGAAAAUAAAAUGUUAGUAAGGGGAUAAGAUACUUUGCAGUGCAAAGGCAUUGCCUAAAAGCAAAUUCCCAUUAGAGAGACAAAAAGCUGUUUCUAUAAAAUGGUGAUUAAUAUGAAAUGGAAUGAGCUUGUGGUCUCAGUCUUCUUCUCAGCAGAAAAUAAGUCACAAUCUCACUUUCAGCAAAUGAUUAAAGGGGUGUGAAGACAACUACUCUGAACUGCUCCCCUGUUGUCUCAUCACAGCAGGGAAGUCUCAUGCUAGCCACCCAUUACGGUACCCAAAUUUCAAGUUGUUCAUGUAAAUAUGAUUUACACUUUUAGGUCAUGUAAAUAUUUCAAGCAACAACAUUUUGGUAACUCAUACACAUAAAAUGGACUUAUAUUUUUGAAGAAAAAUCUGGCUAGACUACUUGGGGACUUUGCUCAGGCAAUCAAAGAAAAUGCAUCAAAGUCUUUGAGAUUACAAGAUGAAACUGUACUUUUUUUACUGUGUUAUCAUUAAACAAGACUAAAUUUUCAAAAAGCAUGCUUCUCUACUUAGAACUUACAAAUACUUUUUCUAUUUUAAACUGAGUAUUUUAAACCAUUUUCAAAGUCUUUCUCAUAAGUUUUUUCAGAUACAUUGCACAAGGGUAAUUGUAUUUUUUAUAUUUUGCAUUAAGUAGUACUUUGAGAAAUGACCCAAAUAAGGAGCAAAUAUGAGAAGAGGGAAAAAAAAUCCAUCAAUUUGCACAGCUCUGUGACAAGUCUUUCCUCUCCCUCCCAUGGCACCAUUGUGCUCUCUACAGCAAUGACAGGGGUUAUUUGUAAAAAAAAAGAUUAUGGGGCCAAGAUGAACUUCUCCUGGAACCAUGUUUAAAAAAAAAUAAAAAGAGUAAUUCAUCAGCUGGAAUUCAGAAAACUGGAUUGUUGCUAGAUACAGUCUGUGCACUCAUUAAUAAAGCCAGCUUCUAAUGUGGCCAUAUACUAGCUGCAGAAAUUUUUUCUCCUCAAAGAAAAAAGUAUUUGGGGUCCUUUGCACUUAUCUGUUGCUGUAAGACAUCAGUGGUUGUUUAAGAGAAAUCAAACCUUCAAAGGCCUUCCAAAGAAAUCACGCUAAUACCUUUUGGAAUGCUGCUCAUUGUGAAACAAUUGGAGUUGGGUGAACACGUUUACCAAACCUCAGUUUUGUGCUAUCCUUUCACUUUGCAUCCCGCAGUACAUUGCAUGCACUGAGUGGAAUGCCAAAGGAGCUCUGCUUGCUGGCACAUGCUCUGUUAAGGCACAGAGCUUUACUUUCCUGCUUUCCUUGGGCCUUUCCCAGACAUGGCAGUCCAGCAGAUCCCACUGGGACCAGCUGCAACCCAGUCCCUGGGCAGGUAGGUUGGUUAAGAGGUUAUGCUGCAAAGCCCUGCAGCUCAGACACAGAGGAGCACAAGGGCUGAGUCCCUGGCUCUGUGCACAGGACAGGAGCU